rnacentral:misc_RNA from 1 species
AACGCACAUUGCGCCCGCCGGCACUCCGGCGGGCAUGCCUGUCCGAGCGCCAUCCCAGCCCUCAGGCCCAGCCUGGCGUUGGGGGAUCCGCGAACCGCCUGGGGCGUCAGCCCCUCGCAGCGCGCCCCCGAAAUGCAGCGGCGCCGCCACCCGGCCCGUCCACCGCGCAGUAAAUCACGCCGUCGCGGAGGGACCCGGGGGGAAGGCAGCCAAACCGAAGUCUUACUUCAAUAACUAAGCUGGCCUCGGAUCAGGUAGGACUACCCGCUGAACUUAA